rnacentral:rRNA from 1 species
CAGCCGCCGCGGUAAUACGGAGGGAGCUAGCGUUGUUCGGAAUUACUGGGCGUAAAGCGCACGUAGGCGGCUUUGUAAGUCAGAGGUGAAAGCCUGGAGCUCAACUCCAGAACUGCCUUUGAGACUGCAUCGCUUGAAUCCAGGAGAGGUGAGUGGAAUUCCGAGUGUAGAGGUGAAAUUCGUAGAUAUUCGGAAGAACACCAGUGGCGAAGGCGGCUCACUGGACUGGUAUUGACGCUGAGGUGCGAAAGCGUGGGGAGCAAACAGGAUUAGAUACCCGCGUAGUCCCUGUCUCUUAUAC